rnacentral:rRNA from 1 species
GAUGAACGCUGGCGGCGUGCCUAAUACAUGCAAGUCGAGCGAACAGACGAGGAACUUGUUCCUUCGACGUUAGCGGCGGACGGGUGAGUAACACGUAGGUAACCUACCUAUAAGACUGGGAUAACUUCGGGAAACGGGAGCUAAUACCGGAUAAUAUCUUUAACCGCAAGGUUUGAGAGUGAAAGAUGCAUUUGCUAUACCUUAUGAAUGUCCCGCGUCGUUUUUAGUAGUUGGUGAGGUAAAGGCUCACCAAGGCAAAGAAACUUAGCCGACCUGAGAGGGUGAUCGCCCAAACGGGAACUGAGACACGCCCAAGCCCCCUACGGGAGGCACCAGAAGGGAAUCUUCGGCAAUGGGCGAAAGCCUGACGGAGCAACGCCGCGUGAGGGAUGAAGGUCUUCGGAUCGUAAAACUCUGUUAUUAGGGAAGAACAAACGUGUAAGUAACUGUGCACGUCGUGACGGUACCUAAUCAGAAAGCCACGGCUAACUACGUG